GAUUGAAUUCACAGGUCCAUGUUGUAUUUCGUUGUCAUGUCUCCUUGGUUGGCAAUAUAUGAACGUAUCUCAGUCGUGGAAGACAUUGACACUUUUGAAGAGUACAGCUCCAUGUGAUUUGUCCUUGCUGAUGAAGCAGUAACAUAUACAGCAUUGCUCUAGUGUCUGCAUUCUGUGGAACGGAGGACAUGGAUUCUCACUAUGACACCCAGGCUGGAGUGCAGUGGCACAAUCAUAGCUGACUACAGCCUCGAAUUUCUGGGCUCAAGCAAGGCUUUCAUCUCAACCUCCCCAGGAGCUGGGAUUACAGAUGGUGUCAGAAGCGGGGUUCAAAGUAGAGCUUUAAUGACCCCCAGAAGUGCUGAGUGAACAAGCAAGGUACCUGCAAGGACCCACUUGUGUCCUUUGAUCUCUCAGAGCAGUGGAAUUUUCAGCCUGCCAGCCUGCCCUACAGAAUUCAGACUUGUCAGCCUCCACAAUCAGUUCAUCCCAGAGAGUCCCUCUCU
rnacentral:lncRNA from 1 species